UCUGGGAAACUGCCUGAUGGAGGGGGAUAACUACUGGAAACGGUAGCUAAUACCGCAUAACGUCGCAAGACCAAAGAGGGGGACCCUCGGGCCUCUUGCCAUCGGAUGUGCCCAGAUGGGAUUAGCUUGUUGGUGGGGUAACGGCUCACCAAGGCGACGAUCCCUAGCUGGUCUGAGAGGAUGACCAGCCACACUGGAACUGAGACACGGUCC
rnacentral:rRNA from 1 species